rnacentral:rRNA from 1 species
AGUGAACGCUGGCGGUGGGCCUAACACAUGCAAGUCGAACGGCAGCACAGUAAGAGCUUGCUCUUACGGGUGGCGAGUGGCGGACGGGUGAGGAAUACAUCGGACUCUACUUUUUCGUGGGGGAUAACGUAGGGAAACUUACGCUAAUACCGCAUACGACCUACGGGUGAAAGCAGGGGAUCUUCGGGCCUUGCGCGAUUGAAUGAGCCGAUGUCGGAUUAGCUAGUUGGCGGGGUAAAGGCCCACCAAGGCGACGAUCCGUAGCUGGUCUGAGAGGAUGAUCAGCCACACUGGAACUGAGACACGGUCCAGACUCCUACGGGAGGCAGCAGUGGGGAAUAUUAGACAAUGGGCGCAAGCCUGAUCCAGCCAGACCGCGUGGGUGAAGAAGGCCUUCGGGUUGUAAAGCCCUUUUGUUGGGAAAGAAAAGCAGCAGGUUAAUACCCCGCUGUUCUGACGGUACCCAAAGAAUAAGCACCGGCUAACUACGUG